AGUAUGGCUCAGUUGGUAGAGCAGCUGAUUCGUAAUCAGCAGGCCGUCGGUUCAAGUCCGACUACU
rnacentral:tRNA from 1 species